AGUCUAGUCUGUGACCUGAGCCAUCAUGGUAGGGUGUCCAGGGUGAGGGGAGGGUGGUGUGAAUCCCCAGUAAUGCAGGUCCUUUCCAGGCCAGGCCCCUGGUCCCCAGGAGUGCGGGGAUGCCUGAGGUCUACUGCUGCCUUAUCCAGAGCUGCCAUCCCCGGCGAUGACUCAGAGUUCCUGUGGCCCCAGCAUCAUCCCUCCAUCCCUGGCUGUGAGGCAGGAGCAGAGUUGCAGACCUGAGAGGCCUUGAAUUUGUUUGAUAUAGGACUUUGCCACCAGACAAAGUGCUUUGCCUGUGAGGUCUGGCUUGGCCUGGCCUCUGAGAAAGAACAAACACAGACCUCACUGGAAGGAACCUGGAGAACGGGAGAGGAGAGGCUGCUGCUGUCUGCCCUCCCAGCAGCAGAUAUAAAGACAAUGGGCUUCUAAGUCCCCUAGAGUCCCAGCUGUGUAAUUUAAGGCAAAUAUAAUUUCUGACCUACGUAAUGAUGUAUGCACAAGAAGCCUCUCUUGAAUGUAUUAAUUCAGUAAACAGUUAUGGAGUCCUUACAAUGUGCUAGUGGGACUUUGAAGAUGAAUCCAAAUUUGGAUCCUGGCCUGGAAAGGCUCAAAGCCCAAUAUGGGAGACGGACCUUGCAGGUGGCAAUCGUGCAUGGGAGGACAUGGUGGUGGCAGGGUUCCUGACUGUGGCUGUGGGUGGCCUGGACUUGGCAGUGGAGGGAGAUUCAUUCAGAGAAGAGCGAUGGAGCUGCUAUGUUCACCCACUUUCCCAAUUAUAGCCCCUCUCCUCCAGGGCAUUUGCUGGGGGUGGGGGGUGGCGGAAUAAAGUCCCCUGACU
ensembl:lncRNA LINC01227 long intergenic non-protein coding RNA 1227